AUUGAACGCUGGCGGCAGGCCUAACACAUGCAAGUCGAACGAGUGGCGGACGGGUGAGUAAUGUCUGGGAAACUGCCCGAUGGAGUGGGAUAACUACUGGAAACGGUAGCUAAUACCGCAUCCCAUCGGAUGUGCCCAGAUGUGAUUGGCAAGUAGGUGGGGUAAAGGCUCACCGAGGCGACGAUCCCUAGCUGGUCUGAGAGGAUGACCAGCCACACUGUAACUGAGACACGGUCCAGACUCCUACGGGAGGCAGCAGUGGGGAAUAUGGCACAAUGGGCGCAAGCCUGAUGCAGCCAUGCCGCGUGUGUGAAGAAGGCCUUCGGGUUGUAAAGCACUUUCAGCGGGGAGGCGUUACCCGCAGAAGAAGCACCGGCUAACUCCGUGCCAGCAGCCGCGGUAAUGC
rnacentral:rRNA from 1 species